GACGAACGCUGGCGGCGUGCUUAACACAUGCAAGUCGAACGCAAAGGCCCUGCUUUUGUGGGGUGCUCGAGUGGCGAACGGGUGAGUAACACGUGAGUAACCUGCCCUUGACUUUGGGAUAACUUCAGGAAACUGGGGCUAAUACCGGAUAGGAGCUCCUGCUGCAUGGUGGGGGUUGGAAAGUUUCGGCGGUUGGGGAUGGACUCGCGGCUUAUCAGCUUGUUGGUGGGGUAGUGGCUUACCAAGGCUUUGACGGGUAGCCGGCCUGAGAGGGUGACCGGCCACAUUGGGACUGAGAUACGGCCCAGACUCCUACGGGAGGCAGCUGUGGGGAAUAUUGCACAAUGGGCGGAAGCCUGAUGCAGCAACGCCGCGUGCGGGAUGACGGCCUUCGGGUUGUAAACCGCUUUCGCCUGUGACGAAGCGUGAGUGACGGUAAUGGGUAAAGAAGCACCGGCUAACUACGUG
rnacentral:rRNA from 1 species